CAGCACCUCAAGUGGUCAGGAUGAUUAUUGGGCCUAAAGCAUCCGUAGCCUGCUUUGUAAGUUUUCGGUUAAAUCCAUACGCUUAACGUAUGGGCUGCCGGGAAUACUGCAAAGCUAGGGAGUGGGAGAGGUAGACGGUACUCGGUAGGAAGGGGUAAAAUCCUUUGAUCCAUUGAUGACCACCUGUGGCGAAGGCGGUCUACCAGAACACGUCCGACGGUGAGGGAUGAAAGCUGGGGGAGCAAACCGGAUUAGAUACCCGAGUAGUCC
rnacentral:rRNA from 1 species